AACGAACGCUGGCGGCAGGCUUAACACAUGCAAGUCGAACGCUCGACCUUCGGGUCGGGAGUGGCAGACGGGUGAGUAACGCGUGGGAACGUACCCUUCGGUUCGGAGUAACCCAGGGAAACUUGGGCUAAUACCGGAUACGUCCUGGCCUGGAGACAGGGUGGGAGAAAGGUUUACUGCCGAAGGAUCGGCCCGCGUCGGAUUAGCUAGUUGGUGGGGUAACGGCCCACCAAGGCGACGAUCCGUAGCUGGUCUGAGAGGAUGAUCAGCCACACUGGGACUGAGACACGGCCCAGACUCCUACGGGAGGCAGCAGUGGGGAAUAUUGGACAAUGGGCGAAAGCCUGAUCCAGCCAUGCCGCGUGAGUGAAGAAGGCCUUAGGGUUGUAAAGCUCUUUCAGC
rnacentral:rRNA from 1 species